GACGAACGCUGGCGGCGUGCUUAACACAUGCAAGUCGAACGGAAAGGCCCUGCUUGCAGGGUACUCGAGUGGCGAACGGGUGAGUAACACGUGGGUGAUCUGCCCUGCACUUCGGGAUAAGCCUGGGAAACUGGGUCUAAUACCGGAUAGGAGCCAUUUUUAGUGUGAUGGUUGGAAAGUUUUUUCGGUGUAGGAUGAGCUCGCGGCCUAUCAGCUUGUUGGUGGGGUAAUGGCCUACCAAGGCGGCGGCGGGUAGCCGGCCUGAGAGGGUGGACGGCCAAAUUGGGACUGAGAUACGGCCCAGACUCCUACGGGAGGCAGCAGGGGGGAAUAUUGCACAAGGGGCGCAAGCCUGAUGCAGCGACGCCGCGUGGGGGAUGACGGCCUUCGGGUUGUAAACUCCUUUCGCUAGGGACGAAGCUUUUUGUGACGGUACCUAGAUAAGAAGCACCGGCUAACUACGUG
rnacentral:rRNA from 1 species